rnacentral:ncRNA from 1 species
GUAUUGUGCCGAGCAGCUGGUUCGGCCACCCCGCCAGGGUGGUCGUCGCAAGAGGGAACCCGGUGCGAGUCCGGGACUGCCCCGCAGCGGUGAACGGGAACGACCGCCGUCAGGAAGCACUGGGCCCCGGCCCGGGAAGCGACGGCCAGUAGGUCCGCCUUCGGGCGGGUGCCCGUGAGUCCGAAGACCUGCCAGCGCCCCGCGUGCGAC